rnacentral:rRNA from 1 species
AACGAACGCUGGCGGCAUGCCUAACACAUGCAAGUCGAACGAGACCUUCGGGUCUAGUGGCGCAUGGGUUCGUAACGCGUGGGAACCUUCCCUUAGGUUCGGAAUAACUCCCCGAAAGGGGUGCUAAUACCGGAUAAUGUCUUCUGACCAAAGAUUUAUCGCCUUUGGAUGGGCCCGCGUUGGAUUAGCUAUUUGGUAGGGUAAAAGCCUACCAAGGCGACGAUCCAUAGCUGGUUUGAGAGGAUGAUCAGCCACACUGGGACUGAGACACGGCCCAGACUCCUACGGGAGGCAGCAGUGGGGAAUAUUGGAAAAGGGGCGAAAGCGUGAACCAGCAAUGCCGCGUGAGUGAUGAAGGCCUUAGGGUUGUAAAGCUGUUUUAAACGGGAUGAUAAUGACAGUACCGGGAGAAUAAGCCCCGGCUAACUCAGUG